rnacentral:hammerhead_ribozyme from 1 species
AUUCACCUGACGAGUCCCAAACAGGACGAAACGCGCGUCCCGGAU